rnacentral:rRNA from 1 species
ACAAGCGGAGGAGCAUGUGGUUAAUUCGAUGAUACGCGAGGAACCUACCUGGGCUCGAACGUAAGAUGACUGUAGGUGAAAGCUUACAUCUCUUCGGAGCAUUUUACGAGGUGCUGCAUGGUUGUCGUCAGCUCGUGCCGUGAGGUGUCGGGUUAAGUCCCAUAACGAGCGCAACCCCUACCUUUAGUUGCCAUCAGGUUAAGCUGGGGACUCUAAAGGAACUGCCUACGCAAGUAGUGAGGAAGGCGGGGAUGACGUCAAAUCAGCACGGCCCUUACGUCCAGGGCUACACACGUGCUACAAUGGCCGAUACAGAGGGCAGCUACCUGGUGACAGGAUGCAAAUCUCCAAAGUCGGUCUCAGUUCGGAUCGGAGUCUGCAACCCGACUCCGUGAAGUUGGAUUCGCUAGUAAUCGCGCAUCAGCCAUGGCGCGGUGAAUACGUUCCCGGGCCUU